CCGGGGCUUAGGGCGGCGACGCGAACGGAGGUCGAGAUGGCGACGAGGCGGAUCUCGGCGCGGCGGACACCGUAUCCCUCCUCCGAUCGCCGCCUGACCGAGCUUCUUCAACCAUGGUACUACUCUGCAAGCAAGCAUCUUGGGAGGACCACAUGCAUUUGCCAUUUUCAGCCUGAGGCAACCCUUGCAGAGGAUACACAAACCUUGCAGAAAUCACAGCUUUUCUUCCUUCUCUCCUCCAACUCAGAUCGAAGCAAAUGUGGACGCUUGAGGCUACUCGCCAGAGCGUAGCAGUGUGCAUGUCCUGAAGGUACUCUAAGCCUCUAACUUGUUACAGCCCCAAAAAAUUCUAUUACAAUGAUACACUUGCUCGGCGUAUUCAAAAAAUAAACUAUAAUAAAAUACCACAAAAUAUACUCUAAAAUUUACGUUCUCUCCGUCAUAUUAUAAGUAGUUUUAGAUCUAGAGACUUCUUUUUUGUGUCUUGUCACAUCAGAUAUUUAGACGUUAAUUAUGAGUAUUAAAUAUAAACUGAUAACAAAACUAAUUACACGAAUAAAGACUAUUUCAUUAGAUAAAUUUUUAAAGCUUAUUUAAGCUACGAUUAGUAAAUGUUUACUGUAGCAUCACAUUCGCUAAUUAUAGACUAAUUAGAUCCAAUAGAAUCAUCUCGUGAAAUAGUCUAGAGUAUAUGGUGGGUUUUAUUAAUAGUCUAUAUUUAAUACUUGUAAUUAAUGUCCAAAUAUUCAAUGUAACAGUGACUUAAAAAAAAAGUUAGCAGGAACCAAAUAGGCUCUAAGACAUUUUAGCCUUGCGUCUAUUGCUAAUAAAUCUAGACAUAUAUACAAAAUAUGUCCUUCAUUAUAUUCAUAUGUCUACCAUAAAUCUAGAUAUAUAUAAAAAAAAUAUAUAUUAAUACGUAUAUAAAAUAUAUAUAUAUUAAUACGUGGGAUGAAUAUGAACAUCGAAAGUCUCGUAACAUGAACAGGUGAGUAUUAAAAUUUACGUUAGCCACCCAGAGCGCAAUAAUGCGAGACGAGCUCUCCGCCGAAUGCGAAUAGAAUAAUAUUUUGUCUCCUUCCUUCGCG
rnacentral:lncRNA from 1 species